UUGUCCUGACUUUCGUUUUGUGAUGUAUUCACCGUACCGCGUCCUGGGCACUGAGACGAGGAUCCAUCUAGUUCAUAAAAAGUACUGUGUUUCCCUGGUUGGAUAAAAUGGUGGAUCUACGUCUCCCGAACUACCGAUUCAGCUGACAGAAGAUUUUGUAAAGACCAGCUGAAAGAGACAGGAAAAGAUCAUGUAUACCUGAAAAAAAACCUAUUUGUCCCUACUUUCGUUUUGUGAUAGCGGUUAUCGGUUAUUUACAUGUAAACAUUCUAGUCAUAAAUGAUUAAGAUAAAUAAACUUUUAGAUGUUUC
rnacentral:sRNA from 1 species